GAGUGUGUCUGUCUGUUCUCUGUGUGCGUGUGUCUGUGUUUGUGUGUGUGAGUAUUCAGCUGUUUCUCCAUGGUACCGUACAGGCAUGUGUGUUCUUUGUACCAGGCCAACAUCAGCUGUUACCUUUCCUACCUCUCCUUUUGUGUCCAUCUAAAUCUGUUUGCGCAAAACAGAAGGUCAGGCAAACAAAAACAGCCACCAUCUUUCCACAUACAUCCUUCUUUCUAAGGUCUCUUUCACCUCCCACCAUCUUUCCACAUACAUCCUUCUUUCUAAGGUCUCUUUCACCUCCCACCAUCUUUCCACAUACAUCCUUCUUUCUAAGGUCUCUUUCACCUCCCACCAUCUUUCCACAUACAUCCUUCUUUCUAAGGUCUCUUUCACCUCCCACCAUCUUUCCACAUACAUCCUUCUUUCUAAGGUCUCUUUCACCUCCCACCAUCUUUCCAAAUACAUCCUUCUUUCUAAGGUCUCUUUCACCUCCCACCAUCUUUCCACAUACAUCCUUCUUUCUAAGGUCUCUUUCACCUCCCACCAUCUUUCCACAUACAUCCUUCUUUCUAAGGUCUCUUUCACCUCCCACCAUCUUUCCACAUACAUCCUUCUUUCUAAGGUCUCUUUCACCUCCCACCAUCUUUCCACAUACAUCCUUCUUUCUAAGGUCUCUUUCACCUCCCACCAUCUUUCCACAUACAUCCUUCUUUCUAAGGUCUCUUUCAC